UGGGUACUUUGUAUUAUUCGUAUA
rnacentral:siRNA from 1 species